rnacentral:rRNA from 1 species
UACGUAGGUGGCAAGCGUUAUCCGGAAUUAUUGGGCGUAAAGCGCGCGCAGGCGGUCCUUUAAGUCUGAUGUGAAAGCCCACGGCUCAACCGUGGAGGGUCAUUGGAAACUGGGGGACUUGAGUGCAGAAGAGGAGAGCGGAAUUCCACGUGUAGCGGUGAAAUGCGUAGAGAUGUGGAGGAACACCGGUGGCGAAGGCGGCCCUCUGGACGGAUACUGACGCUGAGACGCGACAGCGUGGGGAGCAAACAGG